UACGUAGGGUGCGAGCGUUAAUCGGAAUUACUGGGCGUAAAGCGUGCGCAGGCGGUUCGCCAAGUCAGGUGUGAAAUCCCCGGGCUUAACCUGGGAAUUGCGCUUGAAACUAGCGGGCUUGAGUGUGGCAGAGGGGGGGUGGGAAUUCCACGUGUAGCAGUGAAAUGCGUAGAGAUGUGGAGGAACACCGAUGGCGAAGGCAGCCUCCUGGGCCAACACUGACGCUCAUGCACGAAAGCGUGGGGAGCAAACAGG
rnacentral:rRNA from 1 species